rnacentral:rRNA from 1 species
UACGUAGGGGGCAAGCGUUGUCCGGAUUUAUUGGGCGUAAAGAGCGUGUAGGCGGUCUGGUAGGUCCGUUGUGAAAACUCGAGGCUCAACCUCGAGACGCCGAUGGAAACCCUCAGACUAGAGUCCGGAAGAGGAGAGUGGAAUUCCUGGUGUAGCGGUGAAAUGCGCAGAUAUCAGGAAGAACACCCGUGGCUAAGGCGGCUCUCUAGUACGUGACUGACGCUGAGACGCGAAAGCGUGGGUAGCAAACGGG